rnacentral:rRNA from 1 species
GUGAGGAAUAUUGGUCAAUGGACGAGAGUCUGAACCAGCCAAGUCGCGUGAAGGAAGACGGUUCUAUGAAUUGUAAACUUCUUUUGUGCAGGAAUAAAGUGGGUUACGUGUAACCUUUUGUAUGUACUGUACGAAUAAGGAUCGGCUAACUCCGUGCCAGCAGCCGCGGUAAUACGGAGGAUCCGAGCGUUAUCCGGAUUUAUUGGGUUUAAAGGGUGCGUAGGUGGAUUGAUAAGUCAGCGGUAAAAGUUUGCAGCUUAACUGUAAAAUUGCCGUUGAAACUGUCGGUCUUGAGUGCAAAUGAGGUAGGAGGAAUGUGUUGUGUAGCGGUGAAAUGCUCAGAUAUAACACAGAACUCCGAUUGCGAAGGCAGCUUACUGGGAUGCAACUGACACUGAUGCACGAAAGCGUGGGUAUCAAACAGGAUUAGAAACCCGAGUAGUAC